GUAUAGGAAACGACAGCAUAGUGAAGGAUUGGCGACAUAAACUUUAGUAUUCGAAUGGGCAAACAAGAAAACAAAUUCUAACAUUAAACUAUUUCGAGUGAAAACUAUGGAUAAUUUCAUUCAAUAAAACGAUGGUAUUGGAAUAAGUGUAUUCCUUCAAACAAACUAAAAAGGACAGUAAAAGAAAGUUAAAACAUAAAACUUUCACAGCGUCUCUGUUACAUAAAAAUCAGAGUUGUUAGACACUAUAGGUCUGUGGCUAAUGGAAACAUGACAAGAUCACUUGAUCGUGAUUUGAAAACAAUCCAUGACUCAGUUGAUGGUUGUUUGGAUAUUGUCAAUAAGACGAGCUUUGCCAAGCCAAGCAGCUGCCAAAAUUACGACAUUUUUUGUGCCAGCAGUAAAAGGUUCUAAAGUCGUAGAGUCACAGAUUUCCAGUUGAUCGGGAAUGAAUCUACAACGUGAUAGCUCAGUAUUAGUUUCUGCAAUCAACUUCUCUAAGUCGCCAUUGCCAUUACUCAACUCUUGGGCUAAUUUU